GAUGAACGCUGGCGGCGUGCCUAAUACAUGCAAGUCGAGCGAACAGACGAGGAGCUUGCUCCUCUGACGUUAGCGGCGGACGGGUGAGUAACACGUGGAUAACCUACCUAUAAGACUGGGAUAACUUCGGGAAGCCGGAGCUAAUACCGGAUAAUAUAUUGAACCGCAUGGUUCAAUAGUGAAAGACGGUUUUGCUGUCACUUAUAGAUGGAUCCGCGCCGCAUUAGCUAGUUGGUAAGGUAACGGCUUACCAAGGCGACGAUGCGCAGCCGACCUGAGAGGGUGAUCGGCCACACUGGAACUGAGACACGGUCCAGACUCCUACGGGAGGCAGCAGUAGGGAAUCUUCCGCAAUGGGCGAAAGCCUGACGGAGCAACGCCGCGUGAGUGAUGAAGGUCUUCGGAUCGUAAAACUCUGUUAUUAGGGAAGAACAAAUGUGUAAGUAACUAUGCACGUCUUGACGGUACCUAAUCAGAAAGCCACGGCUAACUACGUG
rnacentral:rRNA from 1 species